UUUCAGAGUUCUAUAAACAUUACUAUCACUCAGUUUAAGAAUAAUUUAGAGAAACGAACAGUGUAUGAAUAUAAAUUAGUUGUGAAACGAAAAGUAAUAUGACCACGAAAAACGUAAAAAAUAUAUAAAACCGCUGGCAACUGAGGAACUCCAGAUGAGCAGAAAGAUACACGUGAGUUUGUUUACGAGUAGUGACGCAGGAAGUGACGGAUCAGAAAUAACAGCGACACAACAAGGGGCACAAUCCCUACACAACCCCAAAGAUCCCAAUGUACCACACACCUUUUAUAUAGAAAAAGAGUACCCUGGGUUUUGCGUAUAACGAUCUCGUCUGUUUGAUACUACGUACGCGUGCCUUCAUGACAAGCAAUGAGUCGUCUGACCGUGAGUAUAUUCAACCUUCAUGAGUAUUUUGGCACCUAAAGGAUCAUUUAGGAUACCCAGGACCAACAGGAGGUAAAUGUUCCAGGAGAGCAGUUCCCUGGCAUAGCAGGCAGUGCACCCAAACCUACCUAAGUGAUGGUCUCUGUCACACCAUCCUCCCCUUUGGAGAGUGACAGUCUCUGUCACAAUGCCUUCACCUACAGGAAGUACCCCUGCGCAUGAUACUGUCCACAUGCCCCUAAGCACAUAACUGCCCUUUCCACCAGGGCCACAUGUAUGCCCCUCAUCAGGGGUCCUCACACUGGGCUAUAUCAUCUCCUCACAGCAGGGGUGGGUUUAUCAACCUGGGGCACACUCCUGAUGGGUUUGUCACCAUCACACUUCUGAUACCAUGUGCAGCGAAGGCUGAAGGCAGCCACCCUACCCAGGACUCAAAGCUAGCAAUGACAGGAGAUGCAUGUGAGCUCUGACCACUUUACCAAGAGCUAGCUCUCUGGCAUAGCAGGCAGAGCACCCAUUUAACCUUCCUAAGUGACCGUCUCCAGCACAAUUCACAACUGUUCCACACCUGUGCAUAAUGCCAUGGUCAUAACCUUGGUUCUAAUGGACCAUUAUCCUAUUGUGCAUAAAUAAAACAAAAUAAGACAUG